rnacentral:rRNA from 1 species
AGCAGCCGCGGUAAUUCCAGCUCCAAUAGCGUAUAUUAAAGUUGUUGCAGUUAAAAAGCUCGUAGUUGAAUUUCGGGAUCAAUAUGUUGGUCGUGCCUUGGUACGUACUAUCUUAUUGGUUUCUCCCUUCUGACGAACCAUGAUGUCAUUAAUUUGGUGUCAUGGGGAAUCAGGAUUGUUACUUUGAAAAAUUAGAGUGUUUAAAGCAGGCUCACGCUUGAAUAUAUUAGCAUGGAAUAAUGAAAUAGGACGUUUGAUUCUAUUUUGUUGGUUUCUAGGAUCGAUGUAAUGAUUAAUAGGGAUAGUUGGGGGCAUUAGUAUUCAAUUGUCAGAGGUGAAAUUCUUGGAUUUAUUGAAGACUAACUACUGCGAAAGCAUUUGCCAAGGAUGUUUUCAUUAAUCAAGAACGAAAGUUAGGGGAUCGAAGACGAUCAGAUACCGUCGUAGUCU